CGGUCCGUGGUGAAAGCCGCGGGGAUGCCGAAACCGUAGGUCGGAGGUUCGAGUCCUCCCGGGC
rnacentral:tRNA from 1 species